UACGUAGGGGGCAAGCGUUGUCCGGAUUUAUUGGGCGUAAAGCGCUCGCAGGUGGUUCGAUACGUCGUGCGUGAAAGACCCCGGCUCAACUGGGGAGGGUCGUGCGAUACGGUCGGACUGGAGGCCAGUAGGGGGAUGCGGAAUUCCGGGUGUAGUGGUGGAAUGCGUAGAGAUCCGGAGGAACACCGGUGGCGAAGGCGGCAUCCUGGACCGGCAUUGACGCUGAGGCGCGAAAGCUAGGGGAGCAAACGGG
rnacentral:rRNA from 1 species